rnacentral:rRNA from 1 species
AUUGAACGCUAGCGGCAGGCCUUACACAUGCAAGUCGAACGAGUGGCGGACGGGUGAGUAAUGUCUGGGAACCUGCCCGAUGGCGGGGGAUAACUACUGGAAACGGUAGCUAAUACCGCAUACCAUCGGAUGUGCCCAUAUGGGAUUAGCUAGUAGGUGGGGUAACGGCUCACCUAGGCAACGAUCCCUAGCUGGUGUGAGAGGAGGCCCAGCCACACUGGAACUGAGACACGGUCCAGACUCCGACGGGAGGCAGCAGUGGGGAAUAUUGCACAAUGGGCGCAAGCCUGAUGCAGCCAUGCCGCGUGUAUGAAGAAGGCCUUCGGGUUGUAAAGUACUUUUGGCGGGGAAGCGUUACUUGCAGAAGAAGCAUCGGCUAACUACGUGCCAGCAGCCGCGGUAAUUC